UGGCGAAGCAAUAACAUCACAAACCAUAUCUGCUGGAAACACACACAAGCUGCAGAUGCGACGACUGAAGCGACGUGUAAAUCACGAUUUACACGCAGAUUUCUUCUAAGAAGAAAGACUUUUUCAUUUUUUUGUGAAAUUACUACCUCAUACAAAAAGAAUACCUAAAGCUAUGCUUUAAGAUUUUUGUUGUUUUUAUUGUGUGGUCUUCACGUUUACAACUUGAAUAAUUUUGCAGAUCUUUGCACCAAGUGAGACCUUAUAUUAUACUGCGCCUUCUCUGAAGACUCAAAAAAGGCCAAUACACCUGUGAUCAACCUGCCAUCUGUUACAUCACUGACAAAAACACAAAAAUUAGCAACUUUAGUUAAUUAAACAGCUAUUAAAAAA